GGGUAAUGGCUCACCUAGGCGACGAUCCCUAGCUGGUCUGAGAGGAUGACCAGCCACACUGGAACUGAGACACGGUCCAGACUCCUACGGGAGGCAGCAGUGGGGAAUAUUGCACAAUGGGCGCAAGCCUGAUGCAGCCAUGCCGCGUGUGUGAAGAAGGCCUUCGGGUUGUAAAGCACUUUCAGCGAGGAGGAAGGUGGUGAGCUUAAUACGCUCAUCAAUUGACGUUACUCGCAGAAGAAGCACCGGCUAACUCCGUGCCAGCAGCCGCGGUAAUACGGAGGGUGCAAGCGUUAAUCGGAAUUACUGGGCGUAAAGCGCACGCAGGCGGUCUGUCAAGUCGGAUGUGAAAUCCCCGGGCUCAACCUGGGAACUGCAUUCGAAACUGGCAGGCUAGAGUCUUGUAGAGGGGGGUAGAAUUCCAGGUGUAGCGGUGAAAUGCGUAGAGAUCUGGAGGAAUACCGGUGGCGAAGGCGGCCCCCUGGACGAAGACUGACGCUCAGGUGCGAAAGCGUGGGGA
rnacentral:rRNA from 1 species